UGCAUGUCCCAUGUCCCACCCGCCACUGCCAUGCUGCCCCACUCUCUGGAGAGCUCAGCCUCAUCAGUUGGAGAGGAGCAGAAUAGGCUGAUUUUUAGCACCUUUUGCGGGGUGUUCUCUGUCCCCAUGAGACUUUUAUUUUGACACUUCUAUGAAAUGCAAAUUCACAAGAUUGGGUGAAGCUUUGCUGCAUAGAAACCUUCAGCUCCGUGUGGAGGCUGGUGACAGGCUUGCUGCGCUGUGAUGCACUUCCCCAACAUAAUAAGACAACAGGUGUGUGCGCUCGGCACAUUUCAGUAGCUUUAUUUACUUCAGUCUAUCUAGAAAUAACCAGAUCCCUUUUGUUUGCUGCUGCACUUGACUGGGUGAGGGAGCUCAGGUCUGCUGUGAGGAGAUGGAUACUGGGGGGCUGGAAGGAAGCAUCUCCCUGAUCUGUUACUCAGAUCAGACUGUCCCAGGUGUGUAACAAAUUCUGAGGGACAGCUUGGACUCAGCUUCUGCACUGAGUUGCUGAGAAGGAGGUUUGUUACGUGGUGCAACACAGAGCCCUGUUUAAAAGUUUAAAAGCUGUCCCUGAUUUGCAAACUCUCCCAGUGAACCAGGGUGGGGUUUUAACCCAGAACUAUUAGUUCUUCAGGGGUGUGGGACAAGGGAGAGGGAGCCCCUGGAGAGAAGCAAAGCUCAGUCUGGGGGGGUUCAUACUGCAGGUGGUAUUUUGUGAUGUGGGAAGAGGCAGGACGAGGGGCUCGCUGCCUUUGCUGGAGGUGCUGGCUGGGACACCCUGCUCAGGGCUGGCUGUGCUGGGGAACAGGAGGAGCAGCAUCAGCAUCGUCUGCGACUUCCCCAAAUUGUCCUGGAUUCAAAACAACCCUUUGGGGCGGCGGGGCUGGUGCAGGGGAGAAAGAUGUGAUUGGUGGGACAGGGCCAGCACUGCGCUUAAAGCCUCCAGCUGCCGUUGCUGCGAGCAGAUGGGGAAGUGUCACAGCACACUGUGAGCCCAGCCCUGACCAUGCAGCCCCUCCAGCGUGCCCACCUGCUCCUCCUGCUCACCCUGCUUGUCCUCUGCAUGCCCCUCGGCCGGGCAAAGGAGGGGGAGGGGGUCACGGCCACCUCCCACACCACUGCAAGCCAGAUCGUAAGCAGCCUGAGCCCUCCCUGUGGCAGCCCACUCCUCUCCCUCGCCUUGGGGCUGGCUGUGGCUUUCUUCCUGCGGCUGCGCUGACCCCCUACGCCCCCUCCCCAGGGAGACACCCCCAGGAUGGCAUCCCUGGCCUUGGCACCUCCUUGGACCCUUGCAGCACAGAGGAGCAGCCUGUACCCUGCCCUGCCUGCCUCUGCUCCCCUCAGCCUCAAAAUAACCCCCCUAAACUGCCCCAGCUCGGGAACAGGCCUGCUGUGAGAUUCUGAGAAAUAAAGCUGGUGU
rnacentral:lncRNA from 1 species